UGCCAGCAGCCGCGGUAAUACGGAGGGUGCUAGCGUUGUUCGGAAUGACUGGGCGUAAAGGGUGCGUAGGUGGUAAGAGAAGUCAGAUGUGAAAGGCCUGGGCUUAACCUGGGGAGUGCAUUUGAAACUAGCUUGCUAGAGUAGAGUAGAGGGUAGUGGAAUUUCCGGAGGAGCGGUGAAAUGCGUAGAUAUCGGAAAGAACACCGGAGGCGAAGGCGACUACCUGGACUUAUACUGACACUGAGGCACGAAAGCGUGGGUAGCGAACAGGAUUAGAUA
rnacentral:rRNA from 1 species